GCCAAAAGGGCCGGUUAAGCUCGUGCCAGCCACCGCGGUUAUACGAGCGGCCCAAGUUGACAUUACACGGCGUAAAGAGUGAUUAGAAAACCUACAAACUAAAGCCAAACCCCUCCCCCAAGCUGUUAUACGCUCACGGAUAGACGAAGACUUCCAACGAAAGUAGCUUUAAUAAAUUUGAACUCACGAGAGUCGAGGGACAAACUGGGAUUAGAUACCCCACUAUGCUCGACUUUAAACGACGACGGCCAAGUACCAGGGCCGUCCGCCAGGGGACUACGAGCAACAGCUUAAAACCCAAAGGACUUGGCGGUGCUUCAAACCCACCUAGAGGAGCCUGUUUUAUAACCGAUAAUCCUCGUUAAACCUCACCACACCUUGCCAAUGCCC
rnacentral:rRNA from 1 species